rnacentral:sRNA from 1 species
AUACUUUUCAUGUAUCUUCUGUGUUUUCUAUAGUCUCUCAUCUCCUUCUUUUUUCUAUAUAUCUCAUGAUUCCUUCAUAUUUAUUUUGUUAUGGCCACUAUUUCUUCUUCUUAACCAAACCCUAGCCUUAGUAUUAAUACUGAUUGUAGAUCUGCUUCAGAGAGAUCGAAGGACCCAAACGAUUUUAUCUUAUUGUUGCCUUCACUACCGAACGAUUCUUCACCAAUUUUUUUUUUUCCCAUCUUUUCAUCAUUUAAUGUGCAAUUUCUUAGAUUGUGAAUUGGUGGAGAAUCGUUCGGUAGUGAAGACAACAAUAAGAUAUUGAAUUAUCCUCACGAGCAUAGAAGACAACGGACUUACGAGUAGGAAGGAGUGUGUUGUAUUUUUACACCUCACAUGUGCUAUUCAAUGAAUUAUGCAUAUUAUAGUGUUAGAUAUUUAAUAACUUUAUUUAGAAUGGUUUUUCACCUAAUUCACCCUUCAAAUAAACCAAAAAAAAA